rnacentral:rRNA from 2 species
UCUGCUCAGGACGAACGCGGUGCGGCCCUGCAUAAUACAUGCAAGUCGAGCGGACCUCUUCGGAGGUCAGCGGCGGACGGGUGAGUAACACGUGGGCAACCUGCCUGUAAGACUGGGAUAACUCCGGGAAACCGGAGCUAAUACCGGAUACUAUGUCAAACCGCAUGGUUUGACAUUCAAAGACGGUUUCGGCUGUCACUUACAGAUGGGCCCGCGGCGCAUUAGCUAGUUGGUGAGGUAAUGGCUCACCAAGGCGACGAUGCGUAGCCGACCUGAGAGGGUGAUCGGCCACACUGGGACUGAGACACGGCCCAGACUCCUACGGGAGGCAGCAGUAGGGAAUCUUCCGCAAUGGACGAAAGUCUGACGGAGCAACGCCGCGUGAGUGAUGAAGGUUUUCGGAUCGUAAAACUCUGUUGUCAGGGAAGAACAAGUGCCGGAGUAACUGCCGGCGCCUUGACGGUACCUGACCAGAAAGCCACGGCUAACUACGUGCCAGCAGCCGCGGUAAUACGUAGGUGGCAAGCGUUGUCCGGAAUUAUUGGGCGUAAAGCGCGCGCAGGCGGUUUCUUAAGUCUGAUGUGAAAGCCCCCGGCUCAACCGGGGAGGGUCAUUGGAAACUGGGAAACUUGAGUGCAGAAGAGGAGAGUGGAAUUCCACGUGUAGCGGUGAAAUGCGUAGAGAUGUGGAGGAACACCAGUGGCGAAGGCGACUCUCUGGUCUGUAACUGACGCUGAGGCGCGAAAGCGUGGGGAGCGAACAGGAUUAGAUACCCUGGUAGUCCACGCCGUAAACGAUGAGUGCUAAGUGUUAGAGGGUUUCCGCCCUUUAGUGCUGCAGCUAACGCAUUAAGCACUCCGCCUGGGGAGUACCGUCACAACACUGAAACUCAGAAGAUAUUGUUUAGACGGAA